AGAGUUUGAUCCUGGCUCAGGAUGAACGCUAGCGGCAGGCCUAAUACAUGCAAGACGAACGGUAAGUUGAGUAGCAAUACUUAGCCAAGAGUGUCGUACGGGUGCGUAACACGUAUGCAACCUACCCUAUACAGGAGGAUAGCCUAGGGAAACCUGGAUUAACCCUUCAUAGUAUUAUUGGAUGGCAUCAUUUGAUAAUUAAAACUGAGGUGGUAUGGGAUGGGCAUGCGUCUGAUUAGUUAGUUGGCGGGGUAAUGGCCCACCAAGACGAUGAUCAGUAGGGGUUCUGAGAGGAAGAUCCCCCACACUGGCACUGAGAUACGGGCCAGACUCCUACGGGAGGCAGCAGUAGGGAAUAUUGGUCAAUGGAUGCAAGUCUGAACCAGCCAUGCCGCGUGCAGGAAGAAGGCCUUCUGGGUUGUAAACUGCUUUUGCCAGGGGAUAAAAUUUCCAUGCGUGGAAAACUGAAGGUACCUGGUGAAUAAGCCACGGCUAACUACGUG
rnacentral:rRNA from 1 species